rnacentral:snRNA from 1 species
GUACUUGCUUCAGCAGUACAUAUACUAAAAUUGGAAAGAUACAGAGAAGAUUAGCCCCAUACAUAUAUAUACAUGUAAGAUAAAAAAAUAUGUAAACCAGCUUU